rnacentral:rRNA from 1 species
UACAGAGGUCUCAAGCGUUGUUCGGAUUCAUUGGGCGUAAAGGUGCGUAGGGGGCGAGGUAAGUUGGAUGUGAAAUCCCGGGGCUCAACCCCGGAACUGCAUUCAAUACUGCCUUGCUGGAGUACUGGAGAGGAGAUUGGAAUUUACGGUGUAGCAGUGAAAUGCGUAGAUAUCGUAAGGAAGACCAGUGGCGAAGGCGGAUCUCUGGACAGUUACUGACACUGAGGCACGAAGGCCAGGGGAGCAAACGGG